CAGCCGCCGCGGUAAUACGUAGGGUGCAAGCGUUAAUCGGAAUUACUGGGCGUAAAGCGUGCGCAGGCGGUUAUAUAAGUCAGAUGUGAAAUCCCCGGGCUCAACCUGGGAACUGCAUUUGAGACUGUAUGGCUAGAGUGUGUCAGAGGGGGGUAGAAUUCCACGUGUAGCAGUGAAAUGCGUAGAUAUGUGGAGGAAUACCGAUGGCGAAGGCAGCCCCCUGGGAUAACACUGACGCUCAUGCACGAAAGCGUGGGGAGCAAACAGGAUUAGAUACCCGAGUAGUCCCUGUCUCUUAUAC
rnacentral:rRNA from 1 species